AGGAGAAGAAGUGGAGAGGAAACGAGGGAAAGGAGAACAGACUGGGGAGAGAGAAUUACGAUUUGCCUUAUUGCAUGCUCUCUGAAGCGAAUGGAAAAAGUUGGGUCUGAACCCAAGAAGAGAAAACUCAAUCCACCGCCUCGCAGGAAUCUUUCCUCACCUCAUGCGAAUGAAGAAAGAUCCGGGAAAUCUACUACUCAAAGUAAUAUUGGUAGUUCUUGUGGGUCGAAUACGAAGAUUGAACAAGC